rnacentral:misc_RNA from 1 species
CUUAACAAAUGAUUAAUAUUCAACUCCAUACACCUUGCAUUCUUGACAAAAUGAUAAGAAUACAACAAUAUACACAAGUAUAAUCUGGUGAACGUCAACAUCAACUAUUUCCAUAAAUAUAAUCUAUUUCCAGUAACAGAUCAAAAGGAUGCUCUCAGAGCCUUUACUCAGUCUUUAGGCAUUCUCUUUUGUCCAUUUAGCAGUAUCAUCUCUUUAUAGGUUAACGGGGAUCCUCAAUCCAUCAUGUGCAAGUUGAACUGGUAUACCUUCUCUUCUAGACCAUUCCACAAGGAAUUCAUUAUCUUUGUGGUGGUCAAAUUCAUGAGUCAUUCCAAUUAGUAGAGCCCUCUUUGGGCAUAGCAUCUUCAACGCCCCGAGAGUCUGACUAAGGCAAAGAUGAACAUUGUGGGAACCGUUCUUAUAGAGAGUGUCCAAAAUAAGCAGAUCUAGUUGUUGACCAUUAUCUUUCGAAAUGUAGGAUACAGUAGUUGCAAGAAAGCGUGAAACAUCAGAUAUAUAUGCAACUCUGAAUUUUUUACCAAAAAGAAACCCCAAGCACACAUAAUCUUCGCCAUGCAUUACUGGCAACGGAACAAAUUCUAGUCCUGAUGUAACAAAGGGCUUUUCACAAUCAUUUUCAAUGAUCUGCCAAUCAAGUUGUGACACGCGUCUAAUUUCCUGGCCUUCCUUAAGUUUCUUCUGGACUAAGUAAGGGAAUUUCUGAACAAUGCUAUCCAUUGAAUAUUGAGUCAGGUACACUGGUGUCGGAUCAAUGUCAUUUGUUGGGCUAAAUGGUUGCACUGCACGGAUAUCAUCCAAGCCAAGAGUUGCAUCAGCAUGCUCAUGAGUCAAAACAAUAGAAUCAACGUGAGGAAUUCUAUAAUGAGUGAACCAACGAAGUACUUGCUCCCGAAACGUCUUCCCAACAUCAAUUAAUAUGUACUUGUGUUCACCAUUUUCCUUACAAUAAUCAAUAAGUAGAGAUGUAUUACACCUGUAAUUAGGGUUUUCUACAGGUGGCAUGGUAAGGGACUGAGAACAGACAGUACAUGGAGGAUCAGAGGGGCGGAUCAGGCACAAUGCAUUGGGAACGGCACUUGAACAACCGGUGCCGAGGAAGAUCAACGCUGAUUGCGGCAGCGCACUGCCGUUCUCGACGGCGGCCAUUUCUAUCGGAGAGGAGAUAUGCUUCGUGUUAUUCGAAUGAGGAG